CAGCCCGUUGACCCACACACAGCUCUUGCGAGACAACACCUGAAGGCAGAAGGCCAGCAGGCUGCUGCCUUUCUCCAGGAUACAGAGACAUGAACUGAACGUAGACAUAAUAAUCUAAGGAAGCAUGGUCUAAUUUCCGAUAUAACCAGUAACAGAAGAAGACUGUCUCCAUGACAAGCUAAUAGAUGGAGAAUGGAAUAAAAAGUUACAAUGAAGGCUUGCAUGUGCUUGGAAAGGCCGGUAGAAUAAGAGGACAUCUAUGCAGGAGGGACCAGGACAGCUCGAUCCUGGCUUGCCGUUGGGUAGGGAGAAUGGGAGAGCUGCUGGCAUGCAUCACUCUCCCUAAGCAGAGACUCACUCAUUGCAAGAAGACAUGCUUGGACCCUCCAGUACAACGCCUCAGAGACUUGCUCAGGGGAGCUCUGGGGAGCCCCAUGGCUACUCCUGAGUCUUUCCUGCCUAUCCCUAGAGUCGGUGCUGAAAUGACUGACUCCAAGGCUCAGAGUGGACUUCCAGGAUCACACAGUGAAUCUGCAGCACAGCCAGCAUCCUGAUGAACAAGGGACCAUGGAGCAAGAAGGGAACCUACAUAGGGUUUCAUGGGCUAAGUAAUGGAUAAUGAAUGGAAAAGACUUCGGCUCAUGGUUCGGGAGACUUGAAGUCUAGUAGCCUGAUGUUGACAUCUGGUAGGACAUUUAUGCUUCAUCCUCACAUGGGUGGGCAGGUGAGUGUGCCAGACCCAGGAUGAGGGCCUCACUUCAUCCUUUUAUCAAAAAACGACUCCUGAGAUAUCUGACCCAUGCUCCGGUAACCAUUAAUCCAUUCAGGACAACAGGCCCCUCAUAAUCGUAUUACUCUUUUUUUUGCAUAUGCACAUGUGUAUGGUGGGCACAUGUAUGUAUUUGCACAUCCAUGUGUAGAUCCGUAUGUGUGCAUUCAUGCACAUGCUUUGGAGGUCAAAUGUUGAUGUCAAAUACCUUAAUUGUUCUCUACCUUGUAUGCUGAAUCAGGCCUGUCACUUGAACCCAGAAAUUGCCACAUGGACCGGUCUAGCUAGCCACUUUGCCCUGGGGACCUUUGUCUCUGCUCCUGAAGUACUGGGAUUGCAGAUGGUCCACCGUAUGCACCCAGUAUUUACACAGGUGCUGAGAAUUCAGACUCACGUCUUCAGUUCCAAGCCAUCUGCUCAGCCCCUAGCAGCUCUCACAGUCUCCUUUCUAGUACCAUCACAGCGGCAGUUGCCCUUCACACACCGCUGCCUGGGAAGCCAGGCUCUGUCUGCCAUUGCUGCAUGCCCUUUCCUGGCAAGGUGUGAGCAAACUGCUCUUCACCCCGGAGAGGUCACCCACAACAGACCAAAGAACAGCUCCAGCUAAGCCGGGCGUGCUGGGCCAGUGAAUUCAUUAGGUCUACUUACUUACAGGGGUGGGGAUGAUUCCCAAAUUUCCCACCCAGUAUGGGCGAUGGCUUCCCCAAAUCUGCACACAUGAAGUUCCCUCUGGUGAACCUUCCAUUUCCUGUGUACUCUUAGUGCCUCCAAAUCCUCACCAGCUGCUGGGU